rnacentral:rRNA from 1 species
AUUGAACGCUGGCGGCAGGCCUAACACAUGCAAGUCGAGCGGAGCGGCGGACGGGUGAGUAAUGCCUAGGAAUCUGCCUGGUAGUGGGGGAUAACGUCCGGAAACGGGCGCUAAUACCGCAUACUAUCAGAUGAGCCUAGGUCGGAUUAGCGAGGUGGUGGGGUAAAGGCCUACCAAGGCGACGAUCCGUAACUGGUCUGAGAGGAUGAUCAGUCACACUGGAACUUAGAAACGGGCCAGACUCCUAAGGGAGGCAGCAGUGGGGAAGAUUGGAACAUGGGCGAAAGCCUGAUCCCGCCCUGCAGCGUGUGUGAAGAAGGUCUUCGGAUUGGAAAGCACUUUUAGUUGGGAGGCGUUACCAAACGAAUAAGCACCGGCUAACUUCGGGCCAGCAGCCGCGGUAAUAC